GCCGAGCGCGGUGGCUCACGCCUGUAAUCCCAGCACUUUGGGAAGCUGAGGCGGGUGGAUCACCUGAGGUUAGGAGUUCGAGACCAGCCUGGCCAACAUGGUGAAACCCCAUCUCUACUAAAAAUGCAAAAAUUAGGCUGGGAGUGGUGGCUCACGCCUGCAAUCCCAGCACUUUGGGAAGCUGAGGUGGGUGGAUCACCUGAGGUUAGGAGUUCGAGACCAGCCUGGCCAACAUGGUGAAACCCCAUCUCU
rnacentral:sRNA from 1 species